GUAGGGAAUAUUGGACAAUGGGCGAAAGCCUGAUCCAGCAAUGCCGUGUGGGUGAAGAAGGCCUGCGGGUUGUAAAGCCCUUUCGGUCGGGAAGAAAAGCUGAGUGCUAAUAUCAUUCAGUCUUGACGUUACCGGAAGAAGAAGCACCGGCAAACUCUGUGCCAGCAGCCGCGGUAAUACAGAGGGUGCGAGCGUUAAUCGGAAUUACUGGGCGUAAAGGGUGCGUAGGCGGCUACUUAAGUCGGAUGUGAAAUCCCUGGGCUCAACCUGGGAAUUGCACUCGAUACUGGGUAGCUAGAGUAUGGUAGAGGGUAGUGGAAUUCCGGGUGUAGCGGUGAAAUGCGUAGAUAUCCGGAGGAACACCGGUGGCGAAGGCGGCUACCUGGACCAAUACUGACGCUGAGGCACGAAAGCGUGGGGAUCAAACAGGAUUAGAAACCCUUGUAGUCC
rnacentral:rRNA from 1 species